UAGGGAAUCUUCCACAAUGGGCGCAAGCCUGAUGGAGCAACACCGCGUGAGUGAAGAAGGGUUUCGGAUUGUAAAGCACUUUCGACGGGGACGAUGAUGACGGUACCCGUAGAAGAAGCCCCGGCUAACUUCGUACCAG
rnacentral:rRNA from 1 species